AUGAAAUCAGAGGUUUGCUUUUGACCGAUGUAGAAGUCAGACCCAAAUAUCUCCCCCUACGAACACCCAUGGAAAGCAUAACCUUUAAGCAACGUUCCCAGCCCGCCACGAGCAACGACGGAAAGCAAUCCCCCUUGACAAAAUUCUCAGCCCUCUUCUUUUCCCUUCAUCUGCGGCCUCGGUAACCACAUCCUCAUGGUCGGCAACCUCAAGUCCUCCUUCGCCCUCAACGCCCCCUGCUCCACGCUCCUUGUCCUAUGCCUCGACCUCGACACAUUCUGCUGGGACGAGGCCGCACGCAUGUUGCACGACAUGUUCAAGUGCUUUCGCAACUCCACCAAGUUCAAGGCCUUCGGCGCCCUCGACCGCGUCUGCUUCUUCGCCAAGCGCACCGGGAAGCUUGCGCUCUGGGACCACCACGCCGCCGACGACGUUGAGUGGCGCUGGAUUGAUAACCUUCUUAGGAAUGGCGACGGGCUCUACCGUAGGUUCGUGUUCGAAGGGAGGCUCAAUGUUGUGCCCUAACUCAGGGUUUAGGGUUUAUGCUUCGAAAUCGCCACCUCGGAGUCGUGGAGCUGAGGACUCUAUUUUCCAAAGGAAGGCCAGAGCAACAUUACAAAAGAGCAAAACUUGGAACUUGGAACUAUCAUAUACAUAUAUGUAAAUUACAUUCAUUAGUUAUAAUCUCAUCAGUGUAGGUUUUUUGACCUUAAUAAAUAAAAUAAAAAAAUUACUGAAAUAAAUUAAAAAAAACUAUUUACUAAAAUAAAUUGUUUUUGACACGUAGGAGAGAGAUAAAUAAAAAGAAAACUUCAAGAGUAGUGACGAGUAUAGUGUAUUGCACAAGUCGUCAACUAAAUUGACGCUACGAGUGAAAAAAAUAUGGAACCUAAAUCGUCAAUAUAUUUGACGUUUUGUACUCUCGUAAUUAUCAAAAGCAAUAAAAAAAAUGUCUGCACUUGAAAACAUAGUCCACAUUAACGUUUUCAUAACAUUUUAAAACCUUUUUUGAUUGCUAGCGUGAUCGGAUAAGGUAGCGAAGAUUCAUUCAACUAUUUCACUCUCAGAGGCAGGCUUGUAGGGUAAUUUACAAUAAAGCCGCAUGUGAAUCCAUCCCAACUACUAGAGUUCUUUCUUUACCUCGACCAAUUGCUGUUGUUGAGCGUUUUUCUGUCAAGGUUGCCAGUUUCAGAGGUUGUUCCGCGACGAGUGGUCUCAGGUGACGUUUUCCACCUUUUAAACCACAUAUGCGUUUCAAAAUCCAAAAAAAUUUAAAACCUCCAAACAAUUUAAAACCACGUUUCCAAUAUAUUUAUCGGGCCAAUAUAUUUGAAUCUCCUACCCUCCCUUGUUCCAUAUGCAAAACCUAUUUUUAAUAUAAUUAUAGUGUUUCCUUUGACAAAUAAGAUGGAAAGGAGAUAUAGAAAAGAAGGAAGCAAACAAAACACCAGAAAGUUGACCAUUGAUAAAAACAUGCACUAUAUGGCCUAUGGAUUGAACAAUGAGAGUGGGAAGUUUGCCACCAUGGAGAAAGGAUUCAGAUGAACCUAUCUGAAUUGCCCAUUACAAAACGUCCCCAAAAAAUGACUUUUUUAGUGUGCAUGAAAGCCCCCCAACGCAUAACACAAGGACAGAUUCUUAUUGUGCCGCUAACACGUAAUUAGUUAUGGUCUACGCUACAAGACGUUCUCUAGCCAUUUUUAUCCUUAAUUUAUUCUUAUAUAAAACGUCAAAGGUUUAUAUGUUUUUACUUUUUUUAUUUCCUAAAACAUAACGUCAAUGAGUGUGACGUUUUCCUAUUCUCUCUCCUACAUGCAUAAAAUGUCACAUAUAACAAUGUUUUCUUCUUUUUUCCGGUCCUACGUGUCCAAAAUAAUUUAUUUUGGUAAAUAGUUUUUUUUUUAAUUUAUUUCAGUAAUUUAUAUUUUAUUUUUAUUUAUUAAGGUCAAAAAGCCCACUAGUGUAAGUAGUUAGAGCAAGCUACAAGCAGAACUUGGAACUUGGAAAUAAGUGAAAUGUAUAGAUGAAAAAAAUGAAGUCAAUUUUAGACUUCAUAGUUAGGUUUUGUGUAGCUCUUCAAAAGCAUGUAAAUAAAAAAAAA